GAUCCUGGCUCAGGAUGAACGCUAGCUACAGGCUUAACACAUGCAAGUCGAGGGGCAGCAUGAAGUCAGCUUGCUGACUUUGAUGGCGACCGGCGCACGGGUGAGUAACGCGUAUCCAACCUGCCCCGAUACUCGGGAACAGCCCUCCGAAAGGAGGAUUAAUGCCCGAUGUGGUCCAUUGAAGGCAUCUGAUGUGGACUAAAGAUUCAUCGGUAUGGGAUGGGGA
rnacentral:rRNA from 1 species